rnacentral:rRNA from 1 species
CGCCUGGGGAGUACGGCCGCAAGGUUAAAACUCAAAUGAAUUGACGGGGGCCCGCACAAGCGGUGGAGCACGUGGUUUAAUUCGACGCAACGCGAAGAACCUUACCUGGCCUUGACAUGCAGAGAACUUUCCAGAGAUGGAUUGGUGCCUUCGGGAACUCUGACACAGGUGCUGCAUGGCCGUCGUCAGCUCGUGUCGUGAGAUGUUGGGUUAAGUCCCGUAACGAGCGCAACCCCUAUCCCUAGUUGCUAGCAGUUCGGCUGAGAACUCUAGGGAGACUGCCGGUGACAAACCGGAGGAAGGUGGGGAUGACGUCAGGUCAUCAUGGCCCUUACGGCCAGGGCUACACACGUGCUACAAUGGUGCGCACAGAGGGCUGCAAACCCGCGAGGGGGAGCCAAUCUCACAAAACGCAUCGUAGUCCGGAUCGCAGUCUGCAACUCGACUGCGUGAAGUCGGAAUCGCUAGUAAUCGUGAAUCAGAAUGUCACGGUGAAUACGUUCCCGGGCCUUGUACACACCGCCCGUCACACCAUGGGAGUGGAUUGCACCAGAAGUGGUUAGUCUAACCUUCGGGAGGACGAUCACCACGGUGUGGUUCAUGACUGGGGUGAAGUCGUAACAAGGUAACCGUA